rnacentral:rRNA from 1 species
GCAGUCGAGCGGAUUGAUGGGAGCUUGCUCCCAUCAGUCAGCGGCGGACGGGUGAGUAACACGUGGGUAACCUGCCUGUAAGACUGGGAUAACUCCGGGAAACCGGGGCUAAUACCGGAUAACUCAUUUCCUCGCAUGAGGAAAUGUUGAAAGGUGGCUUUUAGCUAUCACUUACAGAUGGACCCGCGGCGCAUUAGCUAGUUGGUGAGGUAACGGCUCACCAAGGCGACGAUGCGUAGCCGACCUGAGAGGGUGAUCGGCCACACUGGGACUGAGACACGGCCCAGACUCCUACGGGAGGCAGCAGUAGGGAAUCUUCCGCAAUGGACGAAAGUCUGACGGAGCAACGCCGCGUGAGUGAUGAAGGUUUUCGGAUCGUAAAACUCUGUUGUUAGGGAAGAACAAGUACCGUUCGAAUAGGGCGGUACCUUGACGGUACCUAACCAGAAAGCCACGGCUAACUACGUGCCAGCAGCCGCGGUAAUACGUAGGUGGCAAGCGUUGUCCGGAAUUAUUGGGCGUAAAGCGCGCGCAGGUGGUUCCUUAAGUCUGAUGUGAAAGCCCACGGCUCAACCGUGGAGGGUCAUUGGAAA